GGUUUUUCCUCAAACCUUUCAAAAUCCAAAAACUUUUUCAAAAAACUUUUCCAUUUCCCACACUUUUUCUCUCCCUCUCUGCUUGUCGUUCUCUCUCUCUCUCUCUCACCCGCUUUCUCUCUUCCUUCUUCAAACCUAAAUCAGUCCUUUCUCCCUCAUCCCUGCCUCCCCCUCUCCGCUUCGAACCCUGCCUCCCCUUUUCCAAUCCAAACCCUAAAUGUGCCGACAUCGCAAUUCCUCUUCCCAAUGUUACGAGAAAGAUACUUUAUAUAAGAAACACGUUGAAGGAAGAGAGUUCUGAUGAAAAACAAUCUAGAGAUGAACUCAAUGCGUGGGAUGCCGAGUUUGUUAAGGUUUGGGUUUCUUCGAUUCUUCUGAUCCAUGCUUUUGCUAUAGAUAAUGUUGUUUCAGAAAAUGGUACUUGAUGAAGCAGAUCAGAUGAUUACCAUGGGUUUUGAACAAAUAUUUCUCUAUUCUUGGUCAGACAUGUUCAGGUGGGUGGAAGAGAUAUUUAAACCUGUGGAUAGUUGAGGUGUGAAUGUUUUCAAAUCUAUAUUUUGAGGUCUUGGACAAGCAUUUACGUGAUAAGCGCCUGCUUUCUUUACUAGAGAAGUACCACAAAUAUGAGAAGUUGGUAUGGUUCGAUAUAGGUUGAUAUGGUUCAGCAAGCAGGUGUGUGAUACGGUGAUCAACGUUUCAUCAUGCUAUGUCGAAGGCAGCUCAUGCAUCAAAGUUUUUUGUGUGUUUAUGCUGAGAUGUAUUGGUUUUCUGAUGCAUCGGUUGUGAAUGCUUCUAAAACUGCAUGUGAAUGUCAAUUGGAGCUAUGCAGAGCUGUUUGUUGCCAGCUAUAUGUUCACUACCGAUUCCAGGUUACAUGUUUGGCAAAGCCAUUGUUUUUAUUGAUGCUGCAGCAGAGGCUGCAAUAUAUGGUUUUACUACUGUAGACUGGCCAGAAGGGUUCUUGGUUUUGGCUAUUGCUUCACUGGGAAAUGAGAUUAUGAGAUGAAAAUCCCCCCUGAGGUAAGCAAUAAUUAUUAUCAUAUCUGGCUUUCACUUACGAAACUAUUAUUGAUGUGGUGGCAAAGUCACACAAUUUUGGGUUUCUUCCUCUCUUUCUAUUUUGUUUCAGAUUUUGUUGGUAUUUGUUUGCUGUAUUUUUAUUUGGGUGUGAAAUUUAUGUUGUCCAUGGUAUCGGUGUAUUGUUGAUGAUGAAGGAUGAUUUUGAGAAAUGGAGGUUUGACUGUGUAUUGAUGAUGAAGAAAAAUAUUUCCAGUGCAGUUGGUGGUGUUGUAACCUCCCUUCUCUCCAAUGAUCGAAUAGUUCUUUUGUGUAAUAUGCUGUGUAAAACCGAACUACUGUGAAAAAGCUAAUUCAUUGCUUUCAACUUCAACAUAUGGAAAAUCUAUGAGUGUGCAUUUCAGUAACGUUACUGUCAUGUAAGAGUGUGUUAAAUGUUGAAGGUUAGUUUUGAAAUAUUAUUAUGUUUACAUAUAAUUGAUUGAGAAGAUAUCUUAAAAUGUUAACUGUAAGUUUUGAAAUUUACAAAAUCACCCUUCAAUAGAUAGUUAUAAAUAUCUUCAUGAUUAUGCUCUCUAUUUAUUUCUAGACUAAACAGUGUUGUUAGAUUCCAACAGGUAUUUUGUUCUGACCGCAAGUGAUUUGGAGGAGUGGUGCUGUAACCUUGAGUCUUUUCACCACGAGUAAGAUAUGAUCCCGUGGACAAAAAAAUUGAGGCCUUGUGCUGAAGCUCUGUACAUUGUAUUGUUUGAAAAUAAUAGCCAUCUUCUAGCUCCUGUUGUGGUUUCUCUUCUUCAAGAGACCAUGAACAAUUGUCCGACUUCAGUGACAGAAAUUACUUCUGCAUUUCUUCUUAAAGAUGCUGCUUAUGGUGCUGCCGCCUAUGUUUAUUAUGAACUCUCAUUCUAUCUGAGCUUUAAAUACUGGUCCAAUGGAGCUUUAUCACAUGAACUCUCUAAUCAUCAUCUUCAAUUGUUAGAAGCCUUCUCAUUGAGGCAUUAAGGCUUGACAGAACAAACUCAUAUGCAUGGUACAAUCUUGGACUUGUGUACAAAGAUGAUUUGGGAACAUCAACAUUGGAAGCUGCUGAAUGCUUUGAGGAAGCAGUUUUUCUUGAAGAAUCUUGGCCCAUUGAACCCUUUAGAUAACACUUUCACUUCUUUUCUUUUUGUGAUGUGCUUGUAAAGUUGGUUUAUUAAAUAUAUAUUUUAUAUAAAAAUGAAAUAGCAAAAGGUGAAAGAACGAUAAUUGCUAGGUGUUGUUUUACUGUAAGGACUUAUAGAAACCGUUGGUGGAAAUCCAAGGAGAUUGAUGGAAAUGUCUUAUUGUUAGUGUUAGAUGUGAAUUAUUAGGAAAAGAAAAGAUCUCAUCAUAGAGCCAACUGAUAUGUUUGGUGUCUUAGCCAAGAAAAAGAGAAGAUCGUAGUCUAUGGUUUUUGAUUAUUUAUUUAUUCUAAGCUAGCUACUUGCAAAUUAAAUAAAGAAUUGUGUAUAGGUUCUUCUUGAAGGAAAUGAGAUACCAAAUUAUAGUGUUGAAGUUAAAAAAAAAAUCCUACUGGUAGCAAAUUAACCAGGUUAAACUUUGGACAUGUAUUAGACAGUGCAUAUGUAAUUUUCUUAUAUUAAACAUGUCAAUGGAUAAUUUAAUUUAAAUUUUAAUAUAGUUUGGUUAUUUCAUACUCAUGUGUUGGUGAUAUAGUUUUGGUAGCGGAGUGAGUUUGACGAAAGAGUUGAAGCGGAGAAUAGAGAGAGAAAUAUCGUUGUUUCGUUUUUUUAAUAGGAUAUCUUAGUAAUAAUGCAAGUAACGGGUGAAAUGAACUAAUGAAGCAACGAGUUUGUGUUUUUUUGUUGGGAUUUGGAACAAAGAGAAUAAUAAAGUGAAAAGCACAAAGAGGACAAGAAUGUGACUUUUCAGGAUUAGAUUCUCGCAGAAAUGAAUUUAAUUUGAAUAGUCUA